AUCAACAAUAGCAGUAGCAAUAACAGUAGCAGUAGUAGCAGAAGUACGUAGCAGUAACAGUAGCGCAGCAGUGGUAUUAUCGUUACAGAAAUUAUGCAAUGUAUCUGUAGACGUACAAUGAAACAUGUAUUGCUUUCAAUUUGCACAACUUGGUAAUAAAAUAACGAUUUCCUUUUCAGAGUGUAAUCCUGGUGACAAGCAUAGACUGUUAGAAAGUCUGAGUGUGCGUAGCAGUGGUCUGGCCAACGUAAUGAUGUAUGUAUAUAUGUGGCGGGGCUCCUCCCCAAGACUCACUGCGCUCCUACCUGUCACUUGCUGCCAUCGACCUCGACUCAUCCCACCCCGCCCUACGUAGAGACGCAGCGACAUGAGGCUGGCUGCGUCGCUGUGUGUCUGGUCCUUCUCGAUCUCCUGCCUCCCCCUGUCGUCCAUGGCUCAGCUAGACCCUACGGCUGACGGGUGGAACACAGACGCUGUCACCGCUGUGAAGGAAGUGUUCCAGUCAUCAUCACAAGUGGACGCCUCUCUCAUCAUUAUUGUUGGAAAAAGUUUCAGUGUAAGUCUUUUUAUUCUUCUCCCUAUCAUGACAAACAGUUAACAGCUGUCUCUGUACAUUAGCACGGAAAGAGACAAGGGCCAACUAUUUCAGGGACAAAUCGAAGACCUCCUCGGAGACUCGCGUGGAGCAGCGGUGUUUGAGGUGACCUCCAACACCUCUCGGCUUGACCAGGUCGUCGCCAGUGCCCGCCAGGUAUUUACUAAGGACUUGGGUACCAGGCCUCUGUACCUGUUAUAAGUGUUACCCUAGAUGUUUAGUAGUGGUAAUGGUAGUAGUAGUAUUGUUGGUAUUGCAAUAUUUAACGCAUAGCUGCCUCAUAACUCCCGUCACCUGCUCGUGAACAGGUGCGGCUGGCGUCAUGGGAGGCAGUGGUGAUAGUAGUGAGUGACGACCCAGCCUUCCUCGUCGCCUUCGCUCUACAGGCACGCGAGAGUCGCCUCUUUGUGUGGGCGACAAAACUCAUCGUGGUGACGCGUCGCUGGCCCCAUCGCCUCCAUCCCCUCCACCAGACCUUGUCCCUCACCAACUCCGUCCUUGUGGUGCUGGACGCCGAAGUAGAGAUAUCGAGCCAAGGGAACACUGGCUCUCGCAGGGCAGCAGCCUGGGCAGUGCUGCCAUUCCAAGGCCCAGACGUCCCUCCGCUGAGAGUUGCCUCAUGGGCUGUGGGACGUGGCCUCCAACUGUAUCGGCCAUUCUU